AUGACCUGGACAUUGGGCGAUGGCCGGACUUGCCAGUUCUGGACCGACCAUUGGCUACAUGGUCAGACCGUUGCCGAGAUUGCGCUGUCAUUGUUGCUUCACAUCCCACGCAGACGUAGACGCAACAGAUCAGUGCGUGAUGGGAUCAUGGACCGGACCUAGAUCCGCGACAUCCAUGGUUCUCUGGGACCGGCAGCCACGAUUGAGUACUUUGAUCUUUGGCGGCGUAUUCGGCAGGUCCAACUCUCUGACGUGGCUAACAAAAUCUCUUGGAAGUGGACCCAAAGCGGGAAAUAUUCAGCCUCUUCGGCCUACAAAGCCCUCUUCCUAGGCUCCACCACCGCGCCUAAUGCUACGUCUUGA
rnacentral:rRNA from 1 species